rnacentral:rRNA from 1 species
UUACCUCAGGUCAGAGAAGACUACCCGCUGGACUUAAGCAUAUCACUAAGCGGAGGAAAAGAAACUAACUAGGAUUCCCCCAGUAACUGCGAGUGAAGAGGGAAGAGCUCAUCAUUGGAAUCUGGCAGUGUUGCACUGUCCGAGUUGUAGAUGAGGAGUAGUCCGUCUGGACUGCAUGGCGUCCAAGUACAAUAGGCCGUCAGUGGGACAUCAUAGAGGGUGACAAUCCCGUCCUUGACGCCAAUGUGCAAGUCUAUUACGAUGGCUAUCUCAGAGAGUCGAGCAGUUUGGGAUUUGCUGCUUAAACAUGGGAGGUAGAUUCCUUCUAAAGCUAAAUACAGGCGAGAGACCGAUAGAGAACAAGUACCGCAAGGGAAAGAUGAAAUAGCACUCUGUGAAGGGAGUCAAAAGGCGUGAAAUUGUUGCGAGAGAAGCGAUUCAAGUCAGCGUAGCUAGGCCCAUCAAGCGUCUUCGCUUUGGACUAGCUUUGCCAGCGGUCUUGUCCCUUGAAGAGACUUGACUUGUAAUAUGUCCAGCCUGGCGUGCACAGGCAGCCCCUUCUGGGGGGCCAGUGGCAUGGCUGGUGGAAUGGCUUGCAAUCGACCCGUCUUGAAACACGGACCAAGGAGUCUAACAUGUAUGCGAGUAUAAGGGUGGCAAACCCGUAUGCGCAAUGAAAGUGAUUUUCGGUGAUUGAGAAUGGCCUGAUGACCAGACAAGCAAUAUAUGUCCCUCGUACGGCCAUUGCCCAAGUUCCGUGGUAGAUCCCACGAACAUGGAGUUGGAGCAUACAUGCUAGGACCCGAAAGAUGGUGAACUAUGCCUGGACAAAGCGAAGCCAAAGGAAACUCUGGUGGAGGCUUGUAGCGAUUCUGACGUGCAAAUCGAUCGUCUGAUCUGGGUAUAGGGGCGAAAGACUAAUCGAACCAU